GAUGAACGCUGGCGGCGUGCCUAAUACAUGCAAGUCGAGCGAAUGGAUUAAGAGCUUGCUCUUAUGAAGUUAGCGGCGGACGGGUGAGUAACACGUGGGUAACCUGCCCAUAUGACUGGGAUAACUCCGGGAAACCGGGGCUAAUACCGGAUAACAUUUUGAACCGCAUGGUUCGAAAUUGAAAGGCGGCUUCGGCUGUCCCUUAUGGAUUGACCCGCGUCGCAUUAGCUAGUUGGUGAGGUAACGGCUCACCAAGGCAACGAUGCGUAGCCGACCGGGGAGGGUGAUCGGCCACAUGGGGACUGAGACACGGCCCAGACUCCGACGGGAGACAGCAGUAGGGAAUCUUCCGCAAUGGACGAAAGUCUGACGGAGCAACGCCGCGUGAGUGAUGAAGGCGUUCGGGUCGUAAAACUCUGUGGUUAGGGAAGAACAAGUGCUAGUGGAAUAAGCUGGCACCUUGACGGUACCUAACCAGAAAGCCACGGCUAACUACGUGCCAGCAGCCGCCGUAA
rnacentral:rRNA from 1 species